rnacentral:lncRNA from 1 species
CUGCGAUGGCCAUGCUCACGGUGGUGGCGGUCCUCAUGGUGGUCGCGGCGAUGGCGGUCCUCAUGAUGGUGAUCAUCAUAAUCUUCAUACUUUCUCUUGGACGAAGGGCGAGGAAGUUCAGGAUCUCGCGAUCGACGGUCUGGAGAUGGCCUCGCAGGCCGACUGUGAUGGUCAAGGUCAGGUGAUGGCCUCUCAGGUCGGCGGUGGUCAAGCUCCGGCGAAGGCCUCUCAGGUCGGCGGUGGUGGUCAAGGUCCGGUGAUCAGGCCGACGGUGAUAGUCAAGGUCAGGUGAUGGCCUCUCAGGUCGGCGGCGAUGGUCAAGCUCCGGCGAAUGCCUCUCAGAUCGGCGGCGGUGGUCAAGGUCCUGUGAUGGCCUCUCAGGUCGGCGGUGGUGAUCAAGGUCCGGUGAUGGCCUCUCUGGUCGGCGGGGACGGCCGGAGCUCGAUU